UAAAAAAACCCCAGAGUUGAGUAUUAACACUACAAUUGUAUAUUGUGAAUACCUUUCAAUUCCCCAUACAAAAGGCUAAGCCGAACACAAGUGAUUAUCCAGAGAAGAAUUAUACAGGAACUGCCUUCUAUUUAUACACCCGAAAGCUUAACAGAGACUCCAAUGUAUAAGGAAAACAAAUAUAUCAUCAUCAUGAGACCUGCUCCGUGUUCCUACCUCCAUGAUUAUCCGCACUCGCCAUAGAAAAUUUGUAAAUGGAAGAAAUUAUCAAAGCCCUUCCUACAGAUAAUGACCAUUUUAGAGUGCAGCGACAAACCGAGGAGUCAAAAGUAGUCCAAACAGAUUCCAAAGAUUCAAACCCAUGAACAAAACGCAUGAACAAAACCCAUGAACAAAGAAAUCAAUACUCUGUACACUAAAUCAAUACUCUGUACAAAACCCAUGAACAAAACGCAAAACCCAUUAUCCAAAACACAACCAAAAAUCUAAUCUGCAGAAUCGAAAAGUAAUCGAAAUGAAAGAAGAGGUGGAAGGAAAUCGCAGCUUACCAGAGAGAGAGUGGUGGAGUUCAGUAAAGUUUUU
rnacentral:lncRNA from 1 species